rnacentral:tRNA from 1 species
CAAAAGAAAGUUUCAAAAAUAUAAACUUUGGAAGUUUAAGUGUUAGAAAAAAUUCUAAUCUUUUGA